rnacentral:rRNA from 1 species
ACACGACUACAUUAGAUACCCGGGUAGUCCCAGCCGUAAACUAUGCUCGCUAGGUGUCAGGGACGGUGCGACCGUUUCUGGUGCCGCAGGGAAGCCGUGAAGCGAGCCACCUGGGAAGUACGGUCGCAAGGCUGAAACUUAAAGGAAUUGGCGGGGGAGCACUACAACGGGUGGAGCCUGCGGUUUAAUUGGACUCAACGCCGGAAACUCACCGGGGGCGACAGCAAUAUGUAGGCCAAGCUGAAGACUUUGCCGGAUUAGCUG